GCUCACCAGGCGCUUCAUCUCCUUCCAGCGAGUUGGUGAGCAUGAGGAUGUAGUUACGCGCCAGCAGCAGCGUGGCGAUUUUGGAGAGCUUGCGCACCGACGGGCCGUGCGCGUACGGCAUGACCUCGCGCAGCCCGUCCAUGGCGAUGUUGAGGUCGUGCAUGCGCUUGCGCUCGCGGCUGUUGAUUUUCAGCCGCAGCUGCUGCAGCUCCGGCUCGGUCAUCUGUUUCUUGUCUUUCUUGGUGGACGACGCGGCCGCCGCCGACGUGGAUGACGAGGUGCUGGACGAGGAGGACUUGAAGCCGCCGCCGCCGCCCAGCUUGUCCCCGGGGUGCGCACCCGCCGCGCCCAUGGCUCCGCGCAGCUCGGCGCUCAGCUCCGGCGGGCAGUCGCUCGGCGUGGACGAGGACACAGUGCCCCCCGUGAAGCCGCCGCCGCUGCUGCCCUUGCUCCGGGCCGGCAGGAAAAGGUCAUCGGGUUCCGGCGACGACGGGCGGCUGGACACCAGGCUGGCGUCCGAGUCCAUGGCCCCGGGGCACAGUCGCUGCCUUCGCAGGGUCCUCUCUCCCUCGGCUCUCAGAGCUUCCAAGGGUUGGGGGGGGGGGGGAGGAGAGAGAGAAAGAAAGACGGACUCAGCGGGAUGGGACAGCUGCUUCUGUCUGCUCAGGGUCCAGGCCCGGGUGCGGUCAUACGGAAGGGUGCACUCUGAGUUGUGCCUGUGGGCUGGACCCUGGUUCCUGGCUCCCCUGCGAGCAGAAGCAGUCACUCCGAGUGUUCACGCUCUUCCGUCCUUUGGCUCUCUGGCAUCUUCAGCAGCUCAGCCAUUUGCCUGACGGUCUGCAAAGCCACAGGUGAGACUCUAUGUAUCCUACAGUCUUUUUUUUUCUUUUUUAAUUUGACAGGUAGAGUUAUAGACAGUGAGAGAGAGACAGAGAGAAAGGUCCUCCCUCUGUUGGUUCACUCCCCAAAUGGCCGCCACGGCUGAAGCUGCACCCAUCUGAAGCCAGGAACCAGGAGCCAGGUGCUUCCUCCUGGUCUCCCAUGUGUGUGCAGGGCUCAAGGACUUGGUCCAUCCUCCACUGCCCUCCCAGGCCACAGCAGAGAGCUGGACUGGAAGAGGGGCAGCCAAGACUAGAACCCGGUGCCCAUAUGGGAUGCCAGCACCACAGGGCGGAGGAUUAACCAACUGCACCACCGCGCCGGCCCUGUCCCACAGUCUUAACCUGCUCCCUCUGCUGCAGCAAAACACCAGAGCCUGGGUAACUCAUUCCGCGCAUACAUUUCCUGCCCACAGUUACCGAGGCUGAAACGUUCAAGACCAGGGGGCCAGCGGGUUUGGUGUCUGGGGAGGGUCCCUUCCCGGUUUCCAAGGUGGCGCCUGGUGAAGGCAGCAGGACAAAAGGGGCGGAUGCGUAUGAUGGACCCCUUUUUAUAAGACAUCCGUGCCCUUCCUGAGGGCGGAGAGCUAGCGACCUGCUCAGGGCCCCGCCUCUCUGAACCCUAGCAUUGCUGUCUACCUUUCAACAUAGCGUUGUGAGGGAUGCAUUCAGACGACAGCACACACCCUGCAGGACCCUAGGAGCUAAGUCAAGGUCAUUACCG
ensembl:lncRNA